rnacentral:rRNA from 1 species
GAUGAACGCUGGCGGUAUGCUUAACACAUGCAAGUCGAACGGUACCUUCGGGUCUAGUGGCGGACGGGUGAGUAACGCGUGAGAAUCUAUCUUCAGGUCGGGGACAACAGUUAGAAAUGACUGCUAAUACCGGAUGUGCCGAAAGGUAAAAGAUUUAUUGCCUGAAAAAGAGCUCGCGUCAGAUUAGCUAGUAGGUGGUGUAAGAGACUACCUAGGCUUAGAUCUGUAGCUGGUGUGAAAGGACGAUCAGCCACCUUGGAACUGAGACACGGUCCAGACCCCGACGGGGGGGAGGAGGGGGGAAUUUUCCGCAAGGGGCGAAGGCCUAAGGGGCCAACCCCGGGGGAGGGCCAAAGGCUUUUGGGUCAUAAACCUUUUUUCCCAAGGAAGAUUCGGCCGGUCCUGGAGGAAAAAGCCCCGCCAACCUCUUG